GCUUGUACUGCCUUCCAAAGUGAAGAGGAGAUGAACAUGGCUUUGCAUAGCUGUUGUUAUAUGCCAACUUACCUACUCUUGCUGGUACCGUAGUGGCAUAUUGCAAAUUUCGUGGACGAACACCUCUAGUCACUAGUGGCUAGUGAGCAACACUAACAGACCAGAAUGCUUCGCUAUCAACUCCUGGCUUUCCAUCGGCAUGGUGUUCAGCUGCAGCGGCAUCUGGUCCGGGGAGUUCAAGUUGCUGGAUGGCUGCACUGACACAGGAUGGGUUUGCGUUGGCAAUGCGAUACGGCAGUCAUCCCACAUCACGAGCUACAUGUUUAUGUAAUAUUAUAUUGUCGCUCGUCCAGCAACGUCAAGGCUCCGCAUGUAAAAACAGGAGAACACCAUAAUACUACUCAGGGGAUAAUAAUUUUGGAUAUCAAUUUCGUGACAAUUAUUAGAUUCACACAAUAUUCACAACGUAUGCAACACGAUGCUGUCUAUUGACACUACUUCAAACUGAAGUGCUCACUACUCCUCUCCCGUUUUCAUCUCCCUGUACCUUAUGAAUACUCUGCAUUACUGGUUUCGUUUCUACCCUUUCCAUUGCUGCCAGCUCCCAGUCUUUUUCAAUGCACAGCACCACCUUGACAGUCAUUUUUGUAAUUUGAUGUACACAUACUUUGAAGUUCAAAUUCGAAUUACAUGAUCAGAUUUUUGUUCCACAUUUUCUAUUUAUUUUUACUUCAAGCACAACCCUACCGAUGAAGGGAAAGAA